GGAAAUUGACUUAUAAUCCAUUACCGGACGAGACAAAUCAUAAAACAAUUAAAGAGCAGUCUUUUUGUUCUGAUACUAUCACAGAUAACAAAUUAGAGAAACAAGUUACAAAUGAUGCUAGAACUCAAUGUCGUAAGGAAGUUGAUACCCUUAAAUCAAGUAUAAACAGUGUUUAGAGCAUAACAAUAAUUCUGGAAAUGAUAAAAAAUAUUGUGCUUUUUAUGAUGUCUUGCAUAGUCUUUUUUCUAAGAAACCGUGGGCACAAAUAAAGGAGAAAACUAUUGGAUUUAACAUCCCCAUGAAGGAUUUGAACGAUUUACCAUCAACCAUUCGUUCUGUUAAUAAUAAUAUCAAACAAGAAAGGAGAAAGAAAAUCGAAUGUAGAUUUUAACGAAGAAAGAUAAAAUUACAUGAAGAAAAAGUUAAAGCAAGGGGAUAAGAAGUUAAAAUUGGUGGAGGAUUAUCAAAA